AUUGAACGCUGGCGGCAGGCUUAACACAUGCAAGUCGAGCGGGGUGAUGGUGCUUGCACUAUCACUUAGCGGCGGACGGGUGAGUAAUGCUUAGGAAUCUGCCUAUUAGUGGGGGACAACAACUCGAAAGGGAUGCUAAUACCGCAUACGUCCUACGGGAGAAAGCAGGGGAUCACUUGUGACCUUGCGCUAAUAGAUGAGCCUAAGUCGGAUUAGCUAGUUGGUGGGGUAACGGCCCACCAAGGCUAAGACAAGUAGCUGGUCUGAGAGGAUGGUCAGCCACACUGGGACUGAGACACUGCAAAGACUCCUACGGGAGGCUGCAGUCGAGGAUAUUUAGCAAUGGGCGAAAGCCUGACUAUGCGACGCCGCGUGAGGGAUGAAGGUUUUCGGAUCGUAAACCUCUUUUGUCAGGGAAGAAACCUUUCAAGGUAAUACUUUGAAAGCUGACGGUACCUGAAGAAUAAGCCACGGCUAACUCCGUGCCAGCCGCCGCCGUAA
rnacentral:rRNA from 1 species